AUGAAAAUGCAGACAUUAAUACAUAGUGUCCAGAAAAAUUAACCUGUGAGUUGAGGUUUUAUAGAGACUAUAACCAUCUUAUUGAAUUCGUUGUAGUGCGUGAAGUCCCCAUUUUUGAGCAGUUUAACAUUGAAUGAUAGUCACUGGCCACACACAACCAAGCUACCAUUGGAUGUAUGGCUAAGGCAGAUAUUACACUCAUAC